GAUGAACGCUAGCGACAGGCUUAACACAUGCAAGUCGAGGGGCAGCACAGGUAGCAAUACCGGGUGGCGACCGGCGCACGGGUGAGUAACGCGUAUGCAACUUACCUAUCAGAGGGGGAUAACCCGGCGAAAGUCGGGCUAAUACCGCAUGAAGCAGGGGUCCCGCAUGGGGAUAUUUGCUAAGAUUCAUUACUGAUAGAUAGGCAUGCGUUCCAUUAGGCAGUUGGCGGGGUAACGGCCCACCAAACCGACGAUGGAUAGGGGUUCUGAGAGGAAGGUCCCCCACAUUGGUACUGAGACACGGACCAAACUCCUACGGGAGGCAGCAGUGAGGAAUAUUGGUCAAUGGCCGAGAGGCUGAACCAGCCAAGUCGCGUGAGGGAUGAAGGUUCUAUGGAUCGUAAACCUCUUUUAUAAGGGAAUAAAGUGCGGGACGUGUCCCGUUUUGUAUGUACCUUAUGAAUAAGGAUCGGCUAACUCCGUG
rnacentral:rRNA from 1 species